rnacentral:snoRNA from 1 species
GCUAGCAUGAUGAUUGAUAUAUUCUUACCUACAUUAUUUGAACGAGAAAUCGUGUAACAAACCUUCAACUGAUUCA